UACGGGGGGAGCAAGCGUUGUUCGGAUUUACUGGGCGUAAAGGGCGCGUAGGCGGCGUGGCAAGUCACUUGUGAAAUCUCCGGGCUUAACUCGGAACGGUCAAGUGAUACUGCUGUGCUAGAGUGCGGAAGGGGCAACUGGAAUUCUUGGUGUAGCGGUGAAAUGCGUAGAUAUCGCUUGGAACGCCAACGGUGAAAACAGCUCGCUGGGGGUGUGCUGACGCUGAGACACGAAAGCCAGGGGAGCGAACGGG
rnacentral:rRNA from 1 species